GAUUAAAGGACAUUGGUUUUAAUUUUUAUGUUAUUGUAGGAGUCUUUCUACUCUUGGAUUUUUCAAAAAAAUCAUUCAUGAUUAUGUUGGUAUUGUGUUGGCUAUGUGUUGCCUGGUAGAAAAUUCUUCUGGAAUCCUGAUAAGUGUGGCCACUUGCAGUUUCAGAAGCAUAUUGACCGAUAUCCUGGCUGGAUAAGGUUAAGAGGAAAAACUUAAUUACAAAGGGGAAGAAGAAGGACACAGUGGAGAGAGACAUCUGAGAUGCCCAAGGAGCAAGAUGCUCGAGGACAGGUAUUCUAUGGCUGGUGUUGUGAUUAAAGGCAUAUGUCUCCAUACUGGCUGUAUCCUUGAACACACAGAGAUCUGUC